GAUGAACGCUGGCGGCGUGCCUAAUACAUGCAAGUCGAGCGAACGGACGAGAAGCUUGCUUCUCUGAUGUUAGCGGCGGACGGGUGAGUAACACGUGGAUAACCUACCUAUAAGACUGGGAUAACUUCGGGAAACCGGAGCUAAUACCGGAUGAUAUUUUGAACCGCAUGGUUCAAAAGUGAAAGACGGUCUUGCUGUCACUUAUAGAUGGAUCCGCGCUGCAUUAGCUAGUUGGUAAGGUAACGGCUUACCAAGGCAACGAUGCAUAGCUGACCUGAGAGGGUGAUCGGCCACACUGGAACUGAGACACGGUCCAGACUCCUACGGGAGGCAGCAGUAGGGAAUCUUCCGCAAUGGGCGAAAGCCUGACGGAGCAACGCCGCGUGAGUGAUGAAGGUCUUCGGAUCGUAAAACUCUGUUAUUAGGGAAGAACAUAUGUGUAAGUAACUGUACACAUCUUGACGGUACCUAAUCAGAAAGCCACGGCUAACUACGUG
rnacentral:rRNA from 1 species